CCUACGGGUGACUGCAGUGAGGAAUAUUGGUCAAUGGGCGCGAGCCUGAACCAGCCAAGCAGCGUGAAGGAUGACGGCCCUAGGGGUUGUAAACUUCUUUUAUAAGGGAAUAAAGUGAAGUAUGUGUGCCGAUUUGUAUGUACCUUAUGAAUAAGGAUCGGCUAACGCCGUGCCAGCAGCCGCGGUAAUACGGAGGAUCCGAGCGUUAACCGGCUUUAUUGGGUUUAAAGGGAGCGUAGUGGGGCUGUUAAGUCAGUUGUGAAAGUUUGCGGCUCAACCGUAGAAUUGCAGUUGAUACUGGCGGUCUUGAGUACAGUAGAGGUAGGCGGAAUUCGUGGUGUAGCGGU
rnacentral:rRNA from 1 species